rfam:Aneurinibacillus migulanus strain DSM 2895 super7, whole genome shotgun sequence.
AAAGUUUACUUGCCGAAUUCACAUAAUGUGAAGCGGGGGACGAUUUAAUUUUGGGGUGUAUCCGUAUCAACGGAAAGAGACCUUAUCCUCUUAACCCGUCAACUAACCUCGUAGGCACGAAGGGAGUAAAA